UCAGUUAACAGAACAACAAUUAUUUCGUAUAAGCUGCAUCAGAGACAACUGAAGAUGAAAAAACUACCAUCCCCAUAUAUAACUAAUUUGUGCUGUGCACCAACAAGAACCUGCUUUAAAUUUCCAUGCCAAUUUACAACCCCCAUACUGUACCAGGCAAGGUUAGUGGCUAUUGAAAAUACCACCAGGACAGGGCUAUCUAAAGACACAUUCGGUAGUGUGUUAACUAUACAAAAAAAGACACUGUACAGUUUAAAAACAAAUCUUACACAGCCUUACAUUUCAAUUUUUUUCUUUAAAAGGAGUGAGUUGUGUACAGGGGGGUUAAAUGCUUUAUAGACAAGAAAAAAAAAACUGCGCUAGAACCAACUUAUUCAUCAUCAUCAUCUUCUUCUUCAUCUUCAUCUUCUUCAUCUUCCUCCUCCUCCUCAUCCUCUUCAUCUUCCUCAUCUUCCUCCUCUUCCUUCUUUUUCUUGCUUUUUUCAGCCUUGACAACUCCCUUUUUUGCUGCAUCAGGCUUUCC
rnacentral:lncRNA from 1 species